GUUUGAUCCUGGCUCAAGACGAACGCUGGCGGCGUGCCUAAUACAUGCAAGUCGAGCGAGCUUGCCUAGAUGAUUUUAGUGCUUGCACUAAAUGAAACUAGAUACAAGCGAGCGGCGGACGGGUGAGUAACACGUGGGUAACCUGCCCAAGAGACUGGGAUAACACCUGGAAACAGAUGCUAAUACCGGAUAACAACACUAGACGCAUGUCUAGAGUUUGAAAGAUGGUUCCGCUAUCACUCUUGGAUGGACCUGCGGUGCAUUACCUAGUUGGUAAGGUAACGGCUUACCAAGGCAAUGAUGCAUAGCCGAGUUGAGAGACUGAUCGGCCACAUUGGGACUGAGACACGGCCCUGACUCCUACUGGAGGCAGCAGUAAGGAAUCUUCCACAAUGGACGAAAGUCUGAUGGAGCAACGCCGCGUGAGUGAACAAAGGUUUCGGCUCGUANAGCUCUGUUGGUAGUGAAGAAAGAUAGAGGUAGUAACUGGCCUUUAUUUGACGGUAAUUACUUAGAAAGUCACGGCUAACUACGUGCCAGCAGCCGCGGUAAUACGUAUGUGGCAAGCGUUGUCCGGAUUUAUUGCGCGUACAGCGAGUGCAAGCGGUUCAAUAAAUCUGAUGUGAAAGCCUUCGGCUCAACCGGAGAUUGCAUCANAUACUGUUGAACUUGAGUGCAGAAGAGGAGAGUGGAACUCCNU
rnacentral:rRNA from 1 species